UACGUAGGGUGCGAGCGUUGUCCGGAUUCACUGGGUGUAAAGGGAGCGCAGGCGGGUCAGCAAGUCAUUGGUGAAAUUCUCAGGCUCAACUUGAGAACGUACAAUGAUACUGCUGAUCUUGAGUGCGGAAGAGAAAGACGGAAUUCCUGGUGUAGCGGUGAAAUGCGUAGAUAUCAGGAAGAACACCGGUGGCGAAGGCGGUCUUUUGGUCCGCUACUGACGCUCAUGCUCGAAAGCGUGGGGAG
rnacentral:rRNA from 1 species